GACGAACCGUGCGAACGUUGUUCGGAAUCACUGGGCUUAAAGGGUGCGUAGGCGGCCGCCUUAGUCGGGUGUGAAAGCCCUCGGCUCAACCGAGGAAUUGCAUCCGAUACUGGGCGGCUCGAGGGAGAUAGAGGCGCGCGGAACUUCGGGUGGAGCGGUGAAAUGCGUUGAUAUCCGAAGGAACUCCAGUGGCGAAAGCGGCGCGCUGGGUCUCUCCUGACGCUGAGGCACGAAAGCUAGGGUAGCGAAC
rnacentral:rRNA from 1 species